AGGGUUGUGGCUCAGUGGUAGAGCACUUCCUAGCACACAUGAGGCACUGGGUUCAAUCCUCAGCAACACGU
rnacentral:tRNA from 1 species